UACAGAGACUGCAAGCGUUAUUCGGAUUCACUGGGCGUAAAGGGUGCGCAGGCGGCCGUGUGUGUCAGGUGUGAAAGCCCGGAGCUUAACUCCGGAAUUGCGCCUGAAACUACAUGGCUAGAGCAUUGGAGAGGGUAGCGGAAUUCACGGUGUAGCAGUGAAAUGCGUAGAUAUCGUGAGGAACACCAGAGGCGAAGGCGGCUACCUGGACAAUUGCUGACGCUGAGAAGCGAAAGCAUGGGGAGCGAACAGG
rnacentral:rRNA from 1 species